rnacentral:lncRNA from 7 species
ACAAUCAUUACAGAGGUCAGACGCAACCAAGACAGACAGAUGAACAACAAAAACACUGGUUAAGUGAUUCAGAAGGAACUGCAAAUGAAACGCCCCACAACAGAAGCCGUUCGGUUUCUGGUACUGAUUACCAGGUUGGAGUCUCAUCUGAGAAGGUGGAGCGAUCGCAAGUCUGCACGUCACUGCGGUGAUCCAGUGGGAGGAGGCAGCCCACCCGGGCCCAUCAGCCGUCGAUCUGGAUUUCCUCCUGUGUGCAGGCGAUUGGCCACCCCGUGCAUGGUUCACUUGGGUGUGACUGCGAGCCCUGCUUAGUUCUGUGAAAGUCACAGAGAGCCUACGUGCAGCAAAAGGUAACCCGAUAGCGCAGAGAAGACGCAGGAGUUACGACCCCCAAACAAAAAAGAACCGUACCGGCAGAGAAACAGAGCAGAAACUGCACAGCUGAUGGAGUGUGAGGAGAAGAAAUCUGAACAUCAUUGUCUAAGUACUUAGUGGCUUUGAAAUAAAACUAGAGAUUAUCGCAAGUGCUGCAGUUGUUCAAAUUCAGCUCCUGCCAAGUUUUCACACCACCGAUGCUUCUAAGAACAGAGAAACCUACCUUAGAAGCUUCUUCCCAAUUUGUAUCUUGCUAUUUUCAGUAUUAAAUUUAGAACAGUGUCU